rnacentral:rRNA from 1 species
GACGAACGCUGGCGGCGUGCUUAACACAUGCAAGUCGAGCGGUAAGGCCUUUCGGGGUACACGAGCGGCGAACGGGUGCGUAACACGUGGGUGAUCUGCCCUUCACUUCGGGAUAAGCCUGGGUAACUGGGUCUAAUACCGGAUAUGACCUCCUAUCGCAUGGUGGGUGGUGGAAAGAUUUAUCGGUGCAGGAUGGGCCCGCGGCCUAUCAGCUUGUUGGUGGGGUAAUGGCCUACCAAGGCGACGACGGGUAGCCGACCUGAGAGGGUGACCGGCCACACUGGGACUGAGACACGGCCCAGACUCCUACGGGAGGCAGCAGUGGGGAAUAUUGCACAAUGGGCGAAAGCCUGAUGCAGCGACGCCGCGUGAGGGAUGACGGCCUUCGGGUUGUAAACCUCUUUCGGCAGGGACGAAGCGCAAGUGACGGUACCUGCAGAAGAAGCACCGGCUAACUACGUG